rnacentral:rRNA from 1 species
UACACUCCUACGGGAGGCAGCAGUGGGGAAUUUUGGACAAUGGGCGAAAGCCUGAUCCAGCAAUGCCGCGUGAGUGAAGAAGGCCUUCGGGUUGUAAAGCUCUUUUGUCAGGGAAGAAACGGUGAAAGCUAAUAUCUUUUGCUAAUGACGGUACCUGAAGAAUAAGCACCGGCUAACUACGUGCCAGCAGCCGCGGUAAUACGUAGGGUGCAAGCGUUAAUCGGAAUUACUGGGCGUAAAGCGUGCGCAGGCGGUUUUGUAAGUCUGAUGUGAAAUCCCCGGGCUCAACCUGGGAAUUGCAUUGGAGACUGCAAGGCUAGAAUCUGGCAGAGGGGGGUAGAAUUCCACGUGUAGCAGUGAAAUGCGUAGAUAUGUGGAGGAACACCGAUGGCGAAGGCAGCCCCCUGGGUCAAGAUUGACGCUCAUGCACGAAAGCGUGGGGAGCAAACAGGAUUAGAUACCCUAGUAGUCCCA